rnacentral:rRNA from 1 species
CCUACGGGUGGCAGCAGUGGGGAAUAUUGGACAAUGGGCGAAAGCCUGAUCCAGCCAUGCCGCGUGUGUGAAGAAGGCCUUCGGGUUGUAAAGCACUUUCAGUGGGGAAGAAAGCCUUGGGGCUAAUACCCUCGAGGAAGGACAUCACCCACAGAAGAAGCACCGGCUAACUCCGUGCCAGCAGCCGCGGUAAUACGGAGGGUGCGAGCGUUAAUCGGAAUUACUGGGCGUAAAGCGCGCGUAGGCGGUCUGAUAAGCCGGUUGUGAAAGCCCCGGGCUCAACCUGGGAACGGCAUCCGGAACUGUCAGGCUAGAGUGCAGGAGAGGAAGGUAGAAUUCCCGGUGUAGCGGUGAAAUGCGUAGAGAUCGGGAGGAAUACCAGUGGCGAAGGCGGCCUUCUGGACUGACACUGACGCUGAGGUGCGAAAGCGUGGGUAGCAAACGGGAUUAGAUACCGGGUAGUC